rnacentral:rRNA from 1 species
GAGUUUGAUCCUGGCUCAGAACGAACGCUGGCGGCAGGCCUAACACAUGCAAGUCGAACGCUCGUAGCAAUACGGGAGUGGCGCACGGGUGAGUAACGCGUGGGCACCUGCCCGGUGGUCCGGAAUAACCGCGGGAAACUGCGGCUAAUACCGAAUACGCCCUUAGGGGGAAAGAUUUAUCGCCAUCGGAUGGGCCCGCGUAGGAUUAGCUAGUUGGUGAGGUAACGGCUCACCAAGGCGACGAUCCUUAGCUGGUCUGAGAGGAUGAUCAGCCACACUGGGACUGAGACACGGCCCAGACUCCUACGGGAGGCAGCAGUGGGGGAUAUUGGACAAUGGGGGCAACCCUGAUCCAGCCAUGCCGCGUGAGUGAUGAAGGCCUCGGUUGUAAGCUCUUUGUCGGGACGAUGAUGACGGUACCCGCAGAAUAAGACCCCGGCUAACCUUCGUGCCAGCAGCCGCUGUAAU